AAGUUAAGCGCACCAAUUUGAAUCGAUGCGAGUGUUAAACUAUAUAAUCCUGGCCCUCUUCUGUCUUUCUCUCUAAUUCCUGGAUAUCUUGUUCUCUCUAUCUUCUCUCUCCUCUCUCCUCAACUAGAUCUCUCUCCACCGUGCCGCCGUCCAUUCCACCCCGCUGGCGCACUCUCCUCUCAGCUCUCUAUCUUUGUACCCAUUCCACAUCGUAUUCACUCUCCUCUCAGCUCUCUUUUUCUCUCUUUCAUUUACCCUUGCACUCACCAUCGCGGCGGCGAUGGUGACGGUUCUAUUUCUUCACUGGCGCUGAAUUUUGCAGUGGUGGUGGAUCUCUUCACGAAGGUAUUUGCUCUUCGAUUUGAAACCUAGGGUUUUAGGUUUUUUUUGUGUGUGUGAUUAUGGCGACAAUGGUCAAUGCUUGGAUUUCUCCUCUUCUUCACUUUGUCCCGCGGCCUCAUCGUCAGUCGUCUCCAAAUCCCCUCUUUCUCGUGAUGAAUAGGAGUCCAGAUCUUCCCCUUGUUUGAUUUGAAGAGUUUUAUUUUUUUUGUUUGGCUAAGAUUUGGUUGCUUUGAUUUGAAAUUAGGGUAUUGUUUGAUUGAUGUUGUAGUGAUGAAGAUGCGAUUUUUGACUGUUUUAGUUGUAUUGAUUAUUUUGCUGCUCGGAUUAGUUGUAGUUAUGCUUUGAACUAUGAUGAGCUCGGUGAAUAUGGUGAACAUGUUGCUAAUUGAUUGUUUUUUUUAUUUUUUUGUGGGUACUCUAAAUUUUUAAUGUGGUUGAAAUUAAUUUGAAUUAUAUAAAGUUGGUGGAUUGAUUAGUAUGAUAAUUGAUUGUUCUUUGUUCUUCAUGUGUUAAAGUUGGUGGAUUGAUUGGUAUGAUAAUUGAUUGUUCUUUGUUCUUGGUGUGUUAAUUGAGGUACUUGGUGUGUUAAUUGUAUAAAUUUGGUGGAUUGAUUGGUAUGAUAAUUGAAUUAUAUAAAGUUAGCAAAAAAUUUUAGAGUUGCAUUUGUUUCCUUUGCUUGAGCUCCUAUAUUAGUCUUCUUGUUUAGUUUCUUGAAUUAUAUAGAGCUGGUUUGAUUGUGAUUUGAUUAUUGUUUACACUAUUUAUAUGAUUAGAGUGAAUGAUUAGAAGAGGCAAUGGGUGAUUAGAUUGUGAAUAUCUAUGUCUCUCGAGCUAUCUUAUUGUGGUAAUUAUAACUCUACUAUGCCUUCUGCACACUAUGAUACCUUGUUAACAUGACCAAGGCGACAAGGCACGGGUCAUACAAACUCUCCUAUUUGUGGCAGGGAUUAACACCCUCUUACAAGCAUUGUUUGGCCCCAGGCUACUGCCGUAGUUUUAGGGUCCUUUGCUUACCUUGAUCCUGUAACAUACAUAAAAAUGACUCAUCACUGCAGCGUGUUCCGGAUAAUCAUGAUGUAAGUUCAUCCUUCCCUUUGUUUGGCCAUAGCACUUCCUAGCUUUAUCCUUUCUCUGGUUUAGCAAGGUUUCGAAGUCGAAUAGAAUUGAUGCACUAUUUAUGCAUCUGUAUCAUAAGAGAACUGAGGUAGGAAAUUGCUUUUUUGGGUUUUGUAAUUUGUUUUUUUUUUAAAAAAAAGAUUUUAAAUCUGGGGUGCUUUUGAUUUAUGGAUUUGUUUCUUUUUAGGGUUAAUUGAGGAAUCUUUUAGUUCAUCUAGAGUUUGCCACUCGACUGCCCUCCUUGCUGCCCUACCGUAGCCUGUGCUCGUGCUCCUCCUUGUUGCUUGGUGAGAUGCUGCUGCCUUUGCUUUGUAAUUGCUGCUGCUGAGUGCUGCUGGUAGUUCCAUUGUGAGGUCAAGGCUGCCACUGCUCCAUGUUGCUAUGCCCCUGCUGCUGUUCUGCACUACGCUGCUGUUGUUCUACUCUAUGGUGCUGCUAAUCUGCUCUACGCUACUGUUGUUUUGCUCUACGGUGCUGCUAAUCUGCUCUAUGCUCAUGAUCAGAUACGCAGGAAUGAAGAGGUUAGAAGCAGUUGCCUCCGGUAAGAUCUAUUUAGAGGCCGACUUGGUGAAAGAAAAGAGGAACAGUUAAAGAGGUAGAGGUCUUGCACGCUCAAGUUUAAAAGAAUCAGGAGGUGACAAGAUUUGCGAUAGAAGAUUUGCUUGUGAAAGAAGAAAUUAGAAGGUACGUCCUUCCGGUCAUCAUGUGCUUGUGAUGUCAAUCAAGCCAUAUUGUCAUCAUGUGCUUCAACGUUUUAUGGCCCUUUCCCUAGACUUCUACAAUAAAUUUAGCAGAUAUCGAACCUUAUGUGUAGUGGGUAGCCACAUAAGAGUAGUAAGCAGUAGUAAGUCACACUAGAGGUCCCAAGGGUUUCUAGAUUUUCAAAAAUGGUAAUUGCAAUCCUGUUUGUAUGCUAGUAAGUUGAUAUAUUUGUAUGAAAUAGUAAGCUGAUAGAUUUGUAUGAAAAGGCAUAUGAAGGUUAAAAUACUUUAUCUUGUGCUAUUUCUCAUAUAAAAUUUGCAAUAAAAAGGCUGGAGGAUGUAUAGCAUCAACUUGCGGAAAUGCAUGAUGAAAAUGAGAAACUGAUGAGUUUGUAUGCGAAAGCAAUGCAAGAGAAAUGAUAUUCAAAUAAUGCUUUCAAUGUCCUUGUAUAAGAAAAGUGCAGAGAGGAGAAUUUGAGUGCCCAAAUAAGCUUGUUGAGUUUGAUGAAGGAAAAUGUACGGAGCCCUCUAAAUGGAGGACAUGUAUAGAGAUGCAAGCUAAAAGUGACCUUGUAUUCAAAAAGCUUCCAGGUCUAUUGCUUACUUUCAAACAAAGAAAAGAUAGAGCAAAAGGCAAGGGUGGAUGCCUCAAUGUCUUCCUUGGACCAACAAAACACAGAUCUAGUCUUGUUGUCAGGUUCAAAGCAAUGAUAUUAAUGCAAACACAAGAGAGAUCCAAGAAACUGAAGUGGAAAUAAGGAACAAACUGUGGCACCUCAAAUCCAAAGUUGAGGAGGAAAACCAAAGAAAAGCAAGUAAAAUAGUUCUCUUUGCCAUUGAUAACAUUAAGAGAACUGAAGCUCCAGCUCUGAUCUGCAGCAAGGCAACUAAGUUGCUCGAAUCUAAGGAAGAAAAAACCAGAUUGUAUAAAGCAAUCCCAGGAAAAAUUUGGUGCCAUCAAGAAGCAGGUUGAUGAUUUGAACAGUGAGGGCCAAAAGCUGGUUAAUGAAAUCCAAGUUAGAAAUUUAAAGAUGUAAAAGACUUUAUAAUUGGUGCAGGAAAUGGAACUUGCCCUUCAAAUUGUCGCUAAUGACUAGGAUAUUGAAUAUUGAUGAUAGUUUAAUUUACAUGCUUAGAUGUUGUUUAAACAUGCUUGACUGUAUGCCUGUAUGCACUAUGUUAAACCUGCCAUCUCAAAUAAAAGCCCUAGAUUUAUGUUGUACUGA